AUUGAACGCUGGCGGCAUGCCUUACACAUGCAAGUCGAACGGCAGCACGGACUUCGGUCUGGUGGCGAGUGGCGAACGGGUGAGUAAUACAUCGGAACGUGCCUAGUAGUGGGGGAUAACUACUCGAAAGAGUGGCUAAUACCGCAUGAGAUCUAUGGAUGAAAGCAGGGGACCUUAGGGCCUUGUGCUACUGGAGCGGCCGAUGGCAGAUUAGGUAGUUGGUGGGAUAAAAGCUUACCAAGCCGACGAUCUGUAGCUGGUCUGAGAGGACGAUCAGCCACACUGGGACUGAGACACGGCCCAGACUCCUACGGGAGGCAGCAGUGGGGAAUUUUGGACAAUGGGCGCAAGCCUGAUCCAGCAAUGCCGCGUGCAGGAUGAAGGCCUUCGGGUUGUAAACUGCUUUUGUACGGAACGAAAAGCCUCUCUCUAAUACAGGGGGGUGAUGACGGUACCGUAAGAAUAAGCACCGGCUAACUACGUGCCAGCAGCCGCGGUAAUACGUAGGGUGCAAGCGUUAAUCGGAAUUACUGGGCGUAAAGCGUGCGCAGGCGGUUUUGUAAGACAGUGGUGAAAUCCCCGGGCUCAACCUGGGAACUGCCAUUGUGACUGCAAGGCUGGAGUGCGGCAGAGGGGGAUGGAAUUCCGCGUGUAGCAGUGAAAUGCGUAGAUAUGCGGAGGAACACCGAUGGCGAAGGCAAUCCCCUGGGCCUGCACUGACGCUCAUGCACGAAAGCGUGGGGAGCAAACAGGAUUAGAUACCCUGGUAGUCCACGCCCUAAACGAUGUCAACUGGUUGUUGGGGAUUUAUUUCUUCAGUAACGAAGCUAACGCGUGAAGUUGACCGCCUGGGGAGUACGGCCGCAAGGUUAAAACUCAAAGGAAUUGACGGGGACCCGCACAAGCGGUGGAUGAUGUUCUUUAAUUCGAUGCAACGCGAAAACCUUACCCACCUUUGACAUGUACGGAAUCCUUUAGAGAUAGAGGA
rnacentral:rRNA from 1 species